rnacentral:rRNA from 1 species
UACAGAGGGUGCGAGCGUUGUCCGGAAUCACUGGGCGUAAAGGGCGUGUAGGCGGCUUGAUAAGCCGCGUGUGAAAUCCCGGGGCUCAACCCCGGAACGGCACGCGGGACUGUCUGGCUAGAGAAUGGUAGAGGCGAGUGGAAUUCCUGGUGUAGCGGUGGAAUGCGUAGAGAUCAGGAAGAACACCGGUGGCGAAGGCGGCUCGCUGGGCCAUUUCUGACGCUGAGGCGCGAAAGCCGUGGGGGAGCAAACAGG